GCUUGUCUCAAAGAUUAAGCCAUGCAUGUCUAAGUAUAAAUCUUUUACUUUGAAACUGCGAACGGCUCAUUAUAUCAGUUAUAGUUUAUUUGAUAGUCCCUUACUACUUGGAUAACCGUAGUAAUUCUAGAGCUAAUACAUGCGUCAAUACCCUUCUGGGGUAGUAUUUAUUAGAUUGAAACCAACCGCUUCGGCGUGAUGUGGUGAUUCAUAAUAAAUUUGCGAAUCGCAUGGGCCUUGCCCGCGAUACAUCAUUCAAGUUUCUGCCCCAUCAGCUUUCGAUGGUAGUGUAUUGGACUACCAUGGCUUUAACGGGUAACGGAGGAUUAGGGUUCGAUUCCGGAGAGGGAGCCUGAGAAACGGCUACCACAUCUAAGGAAGGCAGCAGG
rnacentral:rRNA from 1 species